GCUCCUUGGAAGAAAAGCUAUGACUGACCUAGACAGCGUAUUAAAAAGCAGAGACAAAGGUCCGUCUAGUCACCGACAAAGGUCCGUCUAGUCACCGACAAAGGUCCGUCUAGUCAAAGCUAUGGUUUUUCCAGUAGUCAUGUAUGGAUGUGAGAGUUGGACCAUAAAGAAAGCUGAGUGCCCAAGAAUUAAUGCUUUUGAACUGCGGUAUUGGAGAAGACUCUUGAAAGCCCUUUGGACUGCAAGGAGAUCCAACCAGUCCAUCCUAAAGGAAAUCAACCUUGAAUAUUCAUUGGAAGGUCUGAUGUUGGAGCUGAAACUCCAACACUUUGGCCACCUGAUGCGAAGAGCUGACUCAUUGGAAAAGACCCUGAUGCUGGGAAAGAUUGAGGGCAGGAGGAGAAGGGGACAACAGAGGAUGAUAUGGUUGGAUGGCAUCACCGACUCAAUGGACACGAGUUUGAGCAAACUCCAGAAGGUGAUGGACAGGGAGGCCUGGCGUGCUGCAGUCCACGGGGUCAAAAAGAGUCGGACAUGGCUGAGCAACAACGAAAGCACUUUGAACCAGUGGUUGUUCAGUCACUGAGUUGCGUCUGAUCUUUUCGACCCCAUGGACUGCAGCGUGCCAGGCUCCUCUGCCCUCUACUAUCUCCCAGAGUCCAUGUCCACUGAGUCCGUGAUGCUAGGUAACCGUCUCAUCCGCUGCCCCUUGCUUCUCCUUGAGCUUCAGGCUUCACUCCACAGCUUGGACCGCAACACUGAGGACGAAAUUUAUUAAUAUGAGGCCCAUUGCCCUGCCCACAAGACAGCUGGCUGUAGCUUGGCACUGAGUCCUCGUUUCACCCUGGGCAGUUGGCAGGGGAGAGGAUGGGGAGGCAGGUGCCCCCGCCCAGAGGGGCUCAGCUGAUCUACGCAGCAAAGCAAU
ensembl:lncRNA